rnacentral:rRNA from 1 species
UGGGGAAUUUUCCGCAAUGGGCGAACGCCUGACGGAGCAAUACCGCGUGAGGGAGGAAGGCUUUUGGGUUGUAAACCUCUUUUCUUAGGGAAGAAGAAAGUGACGGUACCUAAGGAAUCAGCCCCGGCUAACUCUCUGCCAGCAGCCGCGGUAAUACAGAGGGGGCAAGCGUUGUCCCGACUUACUGGGCGUAAAGCGCACGCAGGUGGUAACGCAAGUGGGGUGUUAAAGCCGCCAGCUCAACUGGCGGAGGCCAUCCCAAACUGCGUCACUUGAGGCCUGUAGAGGUAUGUGGAAUUGCCGGUGUAGUGGUGAAAUGCGUAGAGAUCGGCAGGAACACCCAGGGGGAAACCAGCAUACUGGACAGGUCCUGACACUCAGGUGCGACAGCGUGGUGAGCGAACCGGAUUAGAUACCCGCGUAGUCC